rnacentral:rRNA from 1 species
GAGCGAACGGGGAGCAGCCCAGAGCCUGAAUCAGUGUGUGUGUUAGUGGAAGCGUCUGGAAAGGCGCGCGAUACAGGGUGACAGCCCCGUACACAAAAAUGCACAUACUGUGAGCUCGAUGAGUAGGGCGGGACACGUGGUAUCCUGUCUGAAUAUGGGGGGACCAUCCUCCAAGGCUAAAUACUCCUGACUGACCGAUAGUGAACCAGUACCGUGAGGGAAAGGCGAAAAGAACCCCGGCGAGGGGAGUGAAAAAGAACCUGAAACCGUGUACGUACAAGCAGUGGGAGCACGCUUAGGCGUGUGACUGCGUACCUUUUGUAUAAUGGGUCAGCGACUUAUAUUCUGUAGCAAGGUUAACCGAAUAGGGGAGCCGAAGGGAAACCGAGUCUUAACUGGGCGUUAAGUUGCAGGGUAUAGACCCGAAACCCGGUGAUCUAGCCAUGGGCAGGUUGAAGGUUGGGUAACACUAACUGGAGGACCGAACCGACUAAUGUUGAAAAAUUAGCGGAUGACUUGUGGCUGGGGGUGAAAGGCCAAUCAAACCGGGAGAUAGCUGGUUCUCCCCGAAAGCU